GGAAAGACUAGGUGAGAGAAGGGGCUUCCUCUGGAGUAGGGCGGUCUCGGUGAGAGAAAGCUGUUUCCCCUGGGGAGACUCAUGGGCCUGAUCCUGCAGCUGAGCUUUCCUCCCAGGCGGCUAAUGCCCUGCAGCUGAGCUCAGGGUGGGGCUUCCUCUGGCCAGCUGUAGACCCUUCCCUUUGAGUGUCCAGAGAGACCAGCUCUCUCUCUCUCCUGGGUCUGGAUCCGGCCUGACUCAGCUUUCUGGGCUCUAGCUACAAGGCCUGGCUUCUUUGGGAUCACUCUGGACCCCCAACUCUCCUGCGCCUGGUUUACCUUACUCCCUGGUACGUCAGGGAAGGCCGCUUUCGGAUCGAGGAGAGGACCUUGACUGCGUUCCACUGGCUCUACUCUCCACACCAGCAUCGGAUCGUUGGCCGGGCAGACCUGGAGGUCCCGAGCAGAAACACGGGAAGGUUUGCCGAGCCGCAGAGCAGCUGACAGCCCUCUUGCGGCCACAGGCUUCUCACGGAGAGGCUGCCGAGCAUGAAAACAACCGGUUAGCCCAAGCCGACGCAUCAUCAGCUCCAAUCAGCCACGCACGAGCAGCCAGCCUCUCCUUGGCCGAGGAAUACGACGCGGGGCGAAGCUGCCGACGACGUCUCCUGUCUGGGCCCCCCCACCCCAAACCCCCUUUCCACAUAAAUGCAUCUGGACUAGAUGUUGAGGCUGAGCAUCACUGUUGCAUAAAGUGAAGCCGGAAUCCAAUUUGAGUAAAGGCACUCAGGAUGGCACCUUUCCCGUGCAGGACUCAUUGGAAAGGUAGAGAAAGAAAGAAGUCAGAAUGGGAGGCCACCGCGGGCUCCCCGAGAGGAAACGAUGUUGUUUUGGUCUACACCUCUCAGAAUACUUCAUCAAUAAUCCCCCGCUCUGAUCUGCCUAGAUGUUGAGGAGAGACAGAAUUCGGCUUGGCGAGAAAGUCACCUUGAGCACACCCAACGCGGCACAAAGAGAACCACGCUCGUAAGGACUGUGAAGAAUGCUCAGGGGAUUACUCAUUCUUAAUGAGACGCACUUUCUUGAAAUGUUGAGACAGUUUGUUGAGAAACUACCGAUCCUCCGGAGACGUCUUGAAUCCAGAUGAGGCGAGGCGCUUCCUCCUCCCACGGAUGUUUCCACAACUUUAUACAAAAAAAAAAAUUGUAAUAUUUUUUUUUGGGUAAAGAUAAGGAGAAUCAUCCUGAACGGUUAAUGUCGAGGUUGCUGGUAGGACCUGAUUUAACGUGAGAGGGAGUACAAUAGUAAGCGUAGAAUGAUCCUUUAUUGCUUGGCUGUGGGUCACAGAGUUAUCGCUGGAUUUUCCAACUGUUCCUGAAGCUAUAAUGGGGUCACCUUGUGGUGGGAGGUCUUCCAUCAUCCAGCAAAAGCAGGGAGGGGACCAGACCUUUCUUCUGUUGGACUAUCUUUAUUUGUACCAGCACGUCGAACAAUUUAAAAUCAUGGGUGAAAUCGAAGUAAAAGUAAAAACAAAUCAAGAUAAUUAGACAAUCUCCAAUUGGAAGUGGGCUACUUCAGGAGCAAGAGCUUCGAAAUCUGCAGGAUUUUCUCUUGUCCACGGGGUGGGACAUAAGCACGAUGCACAUAAGCACUCCCUUGAUUGGAUUUCUCCACAGUCCCAGAAAAGUUGUCCCCUGUCCAAGUUACCUCCUUUUACUUGAGGAUUCUUUGCUCUUCCCUGAAUUGCCACCCAUGGAUGCUGUUUGCAACCCUUUUG
ensembl:lncRNA